UCUGCAGACCGGGAGAUUCUCGCUGCAUCCUUCUAAGGAGGCUGGUCUUCCGGAGUCUGCUUUCUCCAUGUCAAAUGAUGUGGGGUUUUCAGCCUACACCAUCUACACCACUGCUGAUGACUACUUACUUCCCUGUCUGUUCUCUGACUGCCUCCACCCCUCGGGAGAGUGCACCACCUACCUGUCGGAUGGAGUCGCAGAGUCACCAGUUAUUCUUACUCUGUCACCUUCCAGUAGCUCCUAUGUCCUAUUCCUGUUCAAAGUCUUGUCCUAUAGCCAAAAUCUUUAUCUCCAGCAGAGGCACAUGGACUUGAUCUCCUACAUCCUUUUGUGAGAUCAACAUGGUCUUGCCUCUGUUGAGGUGGAGGAGUAUGAAGAUUAAAGGUUGACCAAACCCAUGCCAACCCACAUUGUUUACCGUGACUGCCGUAGCACCUUUAAAUUACUAAAUGUCCUGCUGGCCUGUUUCCUACUGAAGAAUAAAGUCACAGUCUAAA